rnacentral:snRNA from 1 species
GUGCUUGCUUCAGCAGCACAUAUACUAAAAUUGGAACAAUGCAGAGAUUAGCAUGGACCCUGCACAAGGAUGACAUGAAAAUUCACAAUGUUCCGUUUUUUA